UACAGAGGUCCCGAGCGUUGUUCGGAUUCACUGGGCGUAAAGGGUGCGUAGGUGGUGAGGAAAGUCGGAUGUGAAAUCUCCAAGCUCAACUUGGAAAUGGCAUUGGAAACUACCUUGCUGGAGGUUUGGAGGGGGGACUGGAAUACUUGGUGUAGCAGUGAAAUGCGUAGAUAUCAAGUGGAACACCAGUGGCGAAGGCGAGUCCCUGGACAACACCUGACACUGAGGCCCGAAAGCUAGGGGAGCAAACAGG
rnacentral:rRNA from 1 species